UACGGGGGGAGCAAGCGUUGUUCGGAUUUACUGGGCUUAAAGGGCGCGUAGGCGGUCGACCAAGUCUGGGGUGAAAUCUUUCGGCUCAACCGGAAAAGUGCCCCCGAUACUGGCCGGCUAGAGGGAGAUAGGGGCAUGCGGAACUUCCGGUGGAGCGGUGAAAUGCGUAGAUAUCGGAAGGAACGCCGGUGGCGAAAGCGGCGUGCUGGAUCUCUUCUGACGCUGAGGCGCGAAAGCCAGGGGAGCAAACGGG
rnacentral:rRNA from 1 species